UCAUACGGGAGGCACAGAGGGAAUCUUCGCAAUGGAAGAAAGUAUGACGGAGCAACGCCGCGUGAGUGAUGAAGGUUUCGGAUCGAAAGCUCUGUUGUUAGGGAAGAACAAGUGCGAGAGUAACUGCUAGCACCUUGACGGUACCUAACCAGAAAGCCACGGGUAACUACGUGCCAGCAGCCGCGGUAAUACGUAGGUGGCCAGCGUUGUCCGGAAUUAUUGGGCGUAAAGGGCUUGCAGGCGGUUUCUUAAGUAUGAUGUGAAAGCCCCCGGCUCAACCGGGGAGGGUCAUUGGAAACUGGGAAACUUGAGUGCAGAAGAGGAGAGUGGAAUUCCACGUGUAGCGGUGAAAUGCGUAGAGAUGUGGAGGAACACCAGUGGCGAAGGCGACUCUCUGGUCUGUAACUGACGCUGAGGAGCGAAAGCGUGGGGAGCGAACAGGAUUAGAUACCCUGGUAGUCCACGCCGUAAACGAUGAGUGCUAAGUGUUAGGGGGUUUCCGCCCCUUAGUGCUGCAGCUAACGCAUUAAGCACUCCGCCUGGGGAGUACGGUCGCAAGACUGAAACUCAAAGGAAUUGACGGGGGCCCGCACAAGCGGUGGAGCAUGUGGUUUAAUUCGAAGCAACGCGAAGAACCUUACCAGGUCUUGACAUCCUUUGACAACCCUAGAGAUAGGGCUUUCCCUUCGGGGACAGAGUGACAGGUGGUGCAUGGUGUCGUCAGC
rnacentral:rRNA from 1 species